UCAAGUUGUAGUUGUUAAAUGGGUGAGCUCGUGUCACCCACAGUGAAAAUGAUGAUGUAGUGGAGUGCGCCCGUACAGUGGAGCUGAGUAAACAGUUGGGGUGCUGCUGGCGGCGGCGGCGGUUGCCAAUCCUCCACAGCCAACGACACCCGCAACUCCAUGAAACGAGCAAAAACUAGGACGGACACCACCUUUGGUCCACUUCUAAUGCCAUGAAACCCCCCCCCCCCCCACCCACUCACUCCACCCCCGCUCCUUCCACCCAAGAGUGAAGAAACGCAUCAUCGGAAUCGAUAAGUGACUGUCGACAGCUGCUAUGCGGAGAUGAAAACACCCGGAACCGAACCAAGCGCGCCUUUCCUUUUUCUUUUUCUCGUCCACACAUUUUCCGCCAGAGUCCGCGAUUGCGUGCGGGCACUGAUGGAGAGAAUGACGAGAUGGCAGGUCGAGGAUGGAGAAAGCAACCCGUGAAGACAUUCUUACAGUAAAAUCGGCACACGGUCGGGUCUUUUCAGGGAGCAACAGCUGCACUCUGGGACGCCUUUUCAGGGGGAAAAAAAAAACGGAAGCUGGAGUGGCUUGCGUGUGGAACACAGCGACUUGAUCCACAGGGAAGUUUCCAACAAUGACAUCCAUCCGGCGACUUGACGUGGAUGCUGGAAGUGUGACAAGAACAAUUCACAUCAGUGACUCGGAGAACAAAAUCCACGCCACCUUGACCUGAAGUCAGGUGAGUGUGGCGUCGCUGAAACCAAGCGAAACCUCGACAUUUGGGAUGGGGAACCUCAUCUUUCUUCCAUUUGCCUUGGACAAACUGACGGCUCUUUUUACAAACCGGUGCUGAAAAUGCUGACUUUGGGCCUUUGGGAAAGAGCAAUUAAAGAUGGAGAACGUGUAUGAUUAAAGUCAAUACAUUUUUGAAGGGCCAGACGACCAACAACAACUCCAAAAAGUGGCAUUAAAGAACAGAAUACAAUCAAAUAAGUAUGUAAAAAUCAUGUGGAAAAGGCCAUACUGACGAGUUUAAAACAUUUAUGAUAACCACGCAUAAAACAAGAUAGAUUUAACUCAACUAAAGGCUCCAAAACUAAACUAGAUUUAGUUUUGGAGCCUUUUUAAAAAUGUAAUAUUUGAUAGUCAAUGACUGAUAAGAGUCAAGUCGACAGUAUUUAUAGAGCACUUUCAAACAGCCAUCGCUGCAUACAAAGUGCUGUACAUGGAGCAAUUUAACAUGCACAAUAAACAGUAAGACAAAUCGGUAAUAAAGGCGCUCUCUGAAUAUUCAUUAGGAAGACUUCCAAAACAAAAGAAAGGAGAAUCAAAGUAUUUAACAACCCUUGUCCAACUACAGUGGGUAGAAUAUAAAGUCUACACACCAUGUUCAAAUGUCAGGUUUUUGUAUUUUAAAAAAAAAAGACUAUAUAAUAUUCAUGGAAAUAUUUUUGAAACUUUUUCCAAAGCUAGAACCUGCACAACUCAACUGGGAAAAAAAGCAAACGACUAAAAAUGGCAGACAUCUUUUUGAGAGGGUCCGCAAAAAUAAAAAACUGUGGUCAUGUGCUUACACAGGUCUGCCCACCCUUUUUUUAACUGGAAAACGUGGCUGCGUUCAGAACCGAACAAUCACAUUUAAACUCGCGUUAAAUGGGAGGCGGCGCGCACCUGCCGCCAUUUCAAGUGCCUCAGGUUAACUGCAGAAUAAAGUUCAGUUGUUGUCGUACAGAUGCCGGAUCUGUCUAAUUUUUUUCCUCACACAAAAGCCUGGCAUUUGAACACCGGGGUGGACACUUUUUAGAUGCACUGGAUUUUCCCCACCACUAAGCUGCCAGUACAUGAGACCAUCACGCUUCAGAAGGGUCUGCCUUCCCUCUCCCCGCCCAGUCCACGCGGCGGCUUCCUUCUUCGCGUCUUUGCACAGCAGAUGUGCACUUGACCGCAACCUCCUGCAGGAGCACGCUCUCGACGCAGCGCAGCUGUCCUGUCAACAUGCCGAGCUCUGACGAAGCUGCGCCGGCACCGUGUCAGCUUAUAAAAGCCAACGUUGGCAAGUGUGUCAGAGAAAAGGACGCAGCGGAGUGCAAAGACCUUGUAGACGCCUUUCAUGCCUGUGCAAAGACCCUGUCUGAAGGAUCGUGACAUUUUCCAGCCGGAAGUGCAUGGACUGAAUCAUCUCAAAAACCGGAGAAGAGGAGACAUGUCUGCACAAUUAACUUGUCAAUGCCAGCUGUGUUUUGUGAAAGUUGGCAAUGUAGUCUUUGUGUGGGCCUAUUUUUUUUUAUAAUAAACUCAAAUAACUUA